AAAUUCCUUUAAAGUCAAAUAAAAAAUAGUAAACAAACCAUUCUCUAAAAAAAACCUUUGAGGCUUUCAGCCUUUAGCAACAGAAUCUCAUCAUGAGUAGAAUAAAAGAUGAAAUUACAGAAAGAGCUAUUGCUGAAAUUAAUCGAGAUUCCAAAAUAGCAAGCAUUAGAGGAUCCACUUCGGGAACUUGGCAUUGCUCCCUGCAAAAAACAAACAAAACCUUCUUAAGAAGUGCAAUCGUACAGACGCUCAGCCACAAUAAAAGAGAACAAGAACGUCACCAACGGAGAUCACAAAGCAAAUUGGACCAACUAGAACGAAACGAGACUUUUAGCAGACGAAGACGAAGAAGUCCUCCAAGAAGAGACCUUGACAGAAUCAGAAAUCAAAGACUGAAAGAAAAACACUUUAAACCGCGCCAACCUCAAGUCAUAAAGUUCGUCAAACCGCAAGACUUGGAUGAACGAGUCUUAAUUCCAGGUCAUCCGAAAGAAGCAAAGGUGAAAAAGAUAAAUUUUGUGACACCUUACGAUCCAAACGACAAAUAUCUUGGUCAUGAUGGAAAAGAUCUUUUUAUGGAGAGGAUUCGACAGAAAAUUGGAAUAGAAAAUAUACCAAAAAAAUCUUUCGUACCACCUGAAAAUGAGGAAGACAAAAUUUUUCUACUGUCACAAAAUAAAGUGGCUGGAGUGAUACGUUCUAUUGAUUAAAGUUAUCGACUAAUUUUCAUACAAUCUAAAUAAAUAAUUUAUAUUUUGAAUAAUAAAAAAAAC